GUGAGUAACACGUGGGUAACCUGCCUGUAAGACUGGGAUAACUCCGGGAAACCGGGGCUAAUACCGGAUGCUUGAUUGAACCGCAUGGUUCAAUCAUAAAAGGUGGCUUUUAGCUACCACUUACAGAUGGACCCGCGGCGCAUUAGCUAGUUGGUGAGGUAACGGCUCACCAAGGCGACGAUGCGUAGCCGACCUGAGAGGGUGAUCGGCCACACUGGGACUGAGACACGGCCCAGACUCCUACGGGAGGCAGCAGUAGGGAAUCUUCCGCAAUGGACGAAAGUCUGACGGAGCAACGCCGCGUGAGUGAUGAAGGUUUUCGGAUCGUAAAACUCUGUUGUUAGGGAAGAACAAGUACCGUUCGAAUAGGGCGGCACCUUGACGGUACCUAACCAGAAAGCCACGGCUAACUACGUGCCAGCAGCCGCGGUAAUACGUAGGUGGCAAGCGUUGUCCGGAAUUAUUGGGCGUAAAGCGCGCGCAGGCGGUUUCUUAAGUCUGAUGUGAAAGCCCCCGGCUCAACCGGGGAGGGUCAUUGGAAACUGGGGAACUUGAGUGCAGAAGAGGAGAGUGGAAUUCCACGUGUAGCGGUGAAAUGCGUAGAGAUGUGGAGGAACACCAGUGGCGAAGGCGACUCUCUGGUCUGUAACUGACGCUGAGGCGCGAAAGCGUGGGGAGCGAACAGGAUUAGAUACCCUGGUAGUCCACGCCGUAAACGAUGAGUGCUAAGUGUUAGAGGGUUUCCGCCCUUUAG
rnacentral:rRNA from 1 species